rnacentral:rRNA from 1 species
GCUUAUACUCGACCGUCAGCGGCACGUGCGAUCGCGCUCGCGCGCGAUCACGAAGCCCUGACGAGUAGGAGGGUCGCGGCGGUGAGCGCAGAAGGGCUGGCCGCGAGGCCGUCUGGAGCCGCCGUCGGUGCAGAUCUUGGUGGUAGUAGCAAAUACUCCAGCGAGGCCCUGGAGGACUGACGUGGAGAAGGGUUUCGUGUGAACAGCCGUUGCACACGAGUCAGUCGAUCCUAAGCCCUAGGCGAAAGCCGAUGUCGAUGCGGUGUAGCUUUAUUGUUAUUAUUAAUUAAUUAAUUAACGCACACACCCGUCGGGCGAAAGGGAAUC